UGGGGAAUAUUGGGCAAUGGGCGAAAGCCUGACCCAGCAACGCCGCGUGAAGGAAGAAGGUUUUCGGAUUGUAAACUUCUGUCCUCAGGGAAGAAGGAAGUGACGGUACCUGAGGAGGAAGCCCCGGCUAACUACGUGCCAGCAGCCGCGGUAAUACGUAGGGGGCGAGCGUUGUCCGGAAUGACUGGGCGUAAAGGGCGCGUAGACGGUUUUUUAAGUCUGGAGUGAAAGUCCUGCUUUCAAGGUGGGAAUUGCUUUGGAGACUGGAAGGCUUGAGUGCGGAAGAGGUAAGUGGAAUUCCCAGUGUAGCGGUGAAAUGCGUAGAGAUUGGGAAGAACACCAGUGGCGAAGGCGACUUACUGGGCCGUAACUGACGUUGAUGCGCGAAAGCGUGGGGAGCGAACA
rnacentral:rRNA from 1 species